UCCGGACUGGGGCAGCUGCUCCCGGAGGUUCUGUGUCUUUAAGGCCGGGUAUUGACGGCUCUCAGUCGGCUGCGGCGCCUGCUCAGUGCUGCUGCCGCUGGACGUGGAGCUGCUCCGUCCUGAACAUCUGCUGCAGUCGGUGUGUGUCUCGGAGUGUGUUUGCGUCUGAAUAUGGAUUGACGGAGGGAGGCUUUUGUUGUUGUCAGCCCGGUGGUCCUUUCUGCUGGAGCUGCACUUUCACCGGAGAAUGCCCAUAAGAACCGGAACUGUGCUGCUGCACGGAUAGCGCAGGAAUUACACCGGAGAAACACGAUAUUGACAUGAAGAAAGACAUUGAGACUCUAAUAGCAGAGGAACGGGCUGAUAUCAUCUUGAAAUAUGCUACGGGCAGGCAGGGCGGCGGUGGAGAUC